rnacentral:rRNA from 1 species
AACGAACGCUGGCGGCAGGCCUAACACAUGCAAGUCGAGCGAGGACUUCGGUUCUAGCGGCGGACGGGUGAGUAACGCGUGGGAAUGUGCCCUUCUCUACGGAAUAGCCCUGGGAAACUGGGAGUAAUACCGUAUACGCCCUAUUGGGGAAAGAUUUAUCGGAGAAGGAUCAGCCCGCGUUGGAUUAGGUAGUUGGUGGGGUAAUGGCCUACCAAGCCGACGAUCCAUAGCUGGUUUGAGAGGAUGAUCAGCCACACUGGGACUGAGACACGGCCCAGACUCCUACGGGAAGCAGCAGUGGGGAAUCUUAGACAAUGGGGGCAACCCUGAUCUAGCCAUGCCGCGUGAGUGAUGCAGGCCUUAGGGUUGUAAAGCUCUUUCAGCUGGGAAGAUAAUGACGGUACCAGCAGAAGAAGCCCCGGCUAACUCCGUG